CAGGUGACACAUAAUCCGGGAGCUCUCAAACGCUUAUCUCACCUUAUCUGCGGCGUACCGUCUAUGGAUUGUCGUUAUCUAUGGGUUUGUAAGUCCAGCACUUGUUCCAUCUUCUCGCAGUGAGAUGCGCAGCUCUGCAGUCUGCACGAUCUGUAUAGGCGGAUCUCCUUCACUUAGAGUAUCCAGGGUCAGAAGUUCUGUGAGACAGCCAUCAUGUCCAUGGAAUUUGCUAACAGCAGAGAAAGCAUCGUGGACCAGCAACCGCAGUCUAUGAAAUCUCCAGAAUUCCUCAUGGGGUAUCCUCCAAUUGCUAAGAAGCUGCUCAUUGCUGUUGGGCUCCUCAGCGUCAUUUCAUUGUCUCUUUUGGUGGCUACAGUGGUGCUGGCUUUAAAAGUGCAGGGUUGCGAGCCUGCUGUGGUCACGGAAGCGACUGCUGCAACGGCAGCUACGGAAUCUCCAGGGACAUUCACAUCUAGUGCACGCUCCACGGCAUCGGAUUCGGAAGCCAUGUCCACGCCUAUAUCAGGCGGUACGACCACGACAGCCAAUGAAGCAUUGUCCACAUCACCGGAAGUAUCAGCACCAACGGGAACCACCCAACCAUGAAUGACCAACAUAUAGCGGUACCGUGAAGCAUGCAAACAGUAAUGACGACAACGCAGAGCUUGAAACGCAAGACGAAGAAAGGAAGCAGAUGGACCGAUCCCUACUGAAGCAGAGACAGCCUUGAGACUAGCGUCUCAUCGAAGACUGGGGAGCAUAAUGUAUGGAUAGACUUCAGUGCCACCCCCAAGAAUUCCACGAAAAUAUACACAUAUUUUGUUGUUGUCUUGGGGGUAAAAUAUGCUUGACUCUAAGCUGCAGAGAACGGCAGAACUGGGACUAAAUUAGGAAUGUGGAAAACGUCCUAAAGGGUCCUGCAACGUUUGAUUGUACCUUUUCAUUUCUUCAUUUCAUAUGCGUUACAAAAAUUGGGUUCAGGCACAAAAGGCAAAGGCUAACAUGUUGCCUGCACCACCAAUCGGUGUUGUCUAACAACAUGUCGAACACCAUCAACUACUCACAACAAAUGGAUUAUCGUACAACAUACUACAUAAACACCAUAGACAAUCGUACAAAAUACAACAGCACAGAUUUACAUAUAGCUAAACAUGUAAGGAACAACGAAUUAAUAUUCUUGUUAUUUAACAACAUAAAAAAAACAAGGAAAACGAGCAGAAGUAGAAGGAAGUAUGAUGGGAAUUGAUAUUCUGCUGCUGGAACAGACAGAAAGGACAAAGACAAAGCUUCAAGUUCCUAACAAAUAAUGAAAGAAGGAAGGGAAGUCACUGAAAAGGUUAGCCAGCUGCAGGACUCGAACCCACAUCUUCUAGAUUAUCGCCCGGGGCCCUUACCAAUUGAACUAAGCUAACGCGCCUCUUCUGUGACUUCCAAGGGUGCAUCAAUUGAAGUGACAAACACAUACACUCCCUCACUCACUAAUCUUUCACUCUUACAUGUUUUCUCGCUCGCACAACCACAUUCACACGAUGGGGCGACGCGAGCGGCAUCUGUUAAAUAUGAUCGGAAUUGGAAUCGGAAAGGGCCAGACUGCUGUGUCAACUGUUCUUCCAACCACCCAUCCUACUCGAGGUCCUGUACAAAGUGGAAAUAUGAAAAAGAAGUCCUGCACGUUAAGGUUACACAGAACAUCAGUUACCCAGAAGAAAGAAAAAAAGUAGCUCCUACCUUUUUCGAAAAAUCUUUUACCACAGCUGUAAAACAGAAAGUGAAACCAGUAACACAGUACACACAGACCGAGCAAUCACUACUGACAGAGACAACCACAAAUGUAGUUCAACGAGGUGCACAUCCACCUCCAGUCCCCGAAACUCCAGUGGCGUCACUAACACCGACGCCACUUCUGUCCUCACAGUCCACGGAGGUCACAGCCAUGGAUUGCGAGGACGAGACGAGCUCUGAGCGCUCUUUUGCGAGCACGAGCUCCCAAGCCCCCGAAAAGAACAGAUCUAAUCUGUCGGGGAGUGGAUCACUCCCUGACAUAUCUGACAAGGAGCUUGCAGCUGCGCGGAAAAAACCCACAAGGCCACGGGUUACACCCCCGACAAAAAAAUAGAUAAUGGAAGUCCUUCCUAGUCGGCCAAAGUUCCUGACGCACGUUUUCCUUCUUACUGCAAUCAUUAUGCAGCCCACGAUGCUCCAAUGGAAUUGCCGUGGCUUACUCUCAACGAUGAAUCACCUUUGUUUGUAUCAGGCUUUGUUUGUAUCAGGCUUUGUUUGUAUCUGUCCCUUCUAUGUUGUUCCAGCCUCAGAACAUCAGUUUAUCUCUUACUCUCAAAUUUAGAUGAUGUCAACGAUCUUUUCGAAAAGUAUAACACAUCAUGCUUUUGUCUUCAAGAAACAUAUCUAAACACACAAACACAGAACCCACUGCGUGGACACAUUAUUUUUCGAAGAGAUCGAACUGACGCCACCCGAGCAUCUGGUGGUGUUGCGAUCGUCACGCGAGGAUCUCUCCCAACCAAAGCAGUACACCUAGUUACAGACUUGGAAGCUGUAGCUGUGCAGAUGUGUCUAGACAGGAUAGUCACCAUUUGCUCAGUCUAUUUGCCACCAUCCGGUACAAUUACACAAAAACAAUUAGAAAACUUGUGCAGCCAACUUCCUAGUCCAUACUUCUAGGUGACUUUAAUGCUCACAAUCCACUUUGGGGUAGUACACGAACUGACACUCGAGGGAAAAUGUUAGAGAAAUUUUUAUUAUCAUCAUCCAUCUGUCUUUUGAACAAAGGGGCACCUACAUACAUACAUUCUUCAAGUCAGUCUCUCUCAGCCUUAGACUUGUCCUUUUGCAGUCCAUCCUUGUUUCAAGAGAUAGAAUGGAUUGUAGAAGAAAACCCGCUUGGGAGUGACCAGGUGGUGUUAAAAUAUCUUACGCCAGUGAACACUCUGACAACACGCCCUCCUAGAUGGAAACUCCAUCUAGCCGACUGGAAGCAGUUUUCAGAAAGAAGUGACCUGUCUUUAAUUCCCAUUAAUAGCAUAACGAUAGAAGAAGCUAGUUGUCUUCUCAGCAACAUCUUACUUGAUGCAGCAACAGAAUCCAUUCCCCAGACUUCUGGUCGCUUCCCAAAGCGACCGAAACCCUGGUGGAAUAAUGAAUGCGAGGAAACUCGCAAACUUCAAAAUCGUGCAUGGGGUACAUUUCGGAGAUACCCCACCUCAGAAAAUCUUUUACUUUUCAAAAAGGCAAGAGCAAAGGCCAGGUGGACACGAAAACAGGCUAAACGAUCCUCUUGGCAAACUUUUGUAUCUUCUCUAUCUUGUAAUGCCCCGUCCAAAACCGUAUGGGACAGACUUCGUAAAAUCAGAGGAGAGCAUAUCAGUAAUUCAGUCCCUAUUUUAGAAGUUAACGGUCAUGUAUGCGAAAGCCUCGAAGAACAGGCUAACGCACUCGGGGAACACUUCCAAAGCAUUUCAAGUUCUGCCCAUUAUAGCAGUGAAUUCCUUAAAAUUAAACAAAGGGCUGAAAAACAAAAGAUUCCAGUAAAUGGUGGAGACGGUUUUAGAUAUUGUCACGAAGCGAAAUGGGCCGGCGAGUCGUCGAAUAAACAUCAAACGGUUUAUUAAACUACUUGGUAGCAAAACACAAGUGUGAUAGCUCUCUGAACACAACUGAGUCCAAAGAAUGAAUGAAUGCUCCAGCCUGGAGCGCACAAGCAUUUAAGCGUCGCGCCGAAAAGUCUAGAAACAGCACGUGCAGCAGGCGAUGUGUCUGGAAGCUUCUUUCUUCUUCUUCAGCAUGCACCGGGAUGACAUGUACCGUUUCGUGCCUGCCCUGGAAGUUUCUCGAAGAUGAUUCGUGGCAUUGCCCCCUCCGUAGACGUGGCAUCGUCCCGAUGCCAGAACUGUGUCGGCUCAUCGCAUUUCGUUUGCACCCUGCGAAGCCUCGUAGCCAACGUCGUCGUCUUUAACAUUGUCAUCGGCGCCGUUAUCGAUUAAUGCAGUUGUCUCGUGGUCGUCGAUGAGUAUUUGCAGGUCACUGGUAAGGUUUUGAGCGUCGCGGCGGUCUGUAUUGCUGUUCGUCGAGCUCGGAGACUGGUCGCGUCGUGAGUCAGCAGAAGCAUGCUGCUGCCGUAGACUCUUCAGUUGCGACGGGAUGACUACGCGCUUAAGGCGGGAGGCGUCAGGUGAAAAUCCGGGUAGACCCAGUCGUCGUUACGGGAAACGGCGGUGGACUCGGGUGGCUUCUUCACAGUGGUAGCAGAGCGGCCUCAAGUCUGACGUUCGCCGUACGUCUGUCUUGCGAGUUCCUUGUGCGCGUGGUUGGUAGCUGAGUGGCGCAGGUUGGGCGGGUCGCGAAAGCACCCAGCUGUUGCCGUGCCGCGCUGCCGAUGGUGGCUGUCGUAUUCAUCUUCUGGCGGGUUGGGGGUCCCAAUGGCCUGAAUUCCGAAGGUAGACCACGCUGUCUUCGACUCAGUCGUUUCUGUUCUUCCAGGCCGUUGAGCAGGGAUUGCCCUGCAUCUCCACCAGAUAUGUCACGAAGAGAAAUGGGCCGGCGAGUCGUCGAAUAAACAUCAAACGGUUUAUUAAACUACUUGGUAGCAAAACACAAGAGUGAUAGCUCUCUGAACACAACUGAGUCCAAAGAAUGAAUGAAUGCUCCAGCCCGGAGCGCACAAGCAUUUAAGCGUCGCGCCGAAAAGUCUAGAAACAGCACGUGCAGCAGGCGAUGUGUCUGGAAGCUUCUUUCUUCUUCUUCAGCAUGCACCGGGAUGACAUGUAGCGUUUCGUGCCUGCCCUGGAAGUUUCUCGAAGAUGAUUCGUGGCAUUGCCCCCUCCGUAGACGUGGCAUCGUCCCGAUGCCAGAACUGUGUCGGCUCAUCGCAUUUCGUUUGCACCCUGCGAAGCCUCGUAGCCAACGUCGUCGUCUUUAACAUUGUCAUCGGCGCCGUUAUCGAUUAAUGCAGUUGUCUCGUGGUCGUCGAUGAGUAUUUGCAGGUCACUGGUAAGGUUUUGAGCGUCGCGGCGGUCUGUAUUGCUGUUCGUCGAGCUCGGAGACUGGUCGCGUCGUGAGUCAGCAGAAGCAUGCUGCUGCCGUAGACUCUUCAGUUGCGACGGGAUGACUACGCGCUUAAGGCGGGAGGCGUCAGGUGAAAAUCCGGGUAGACCCAGUCGUCGUUACGGGAAACGGCGGUGGACCCGGGUGGCUUCUUCACAGUGGUAGCAGAGCGGCCUCAAGUCUGACGUUCGCCGUACGUCUGUCUUGCGAGUUCCUUGUGCGCGUGGUUGGUAGCUGAGUGGUGCAGGUUGGGCGGGUCGCGAAAGCACCCAGCUGUUGCCGUGCCGCGCUGCCGAUGGUGGCUGUCGUAUUCAUCUUCUGGCGGGUUGGGGGUCCCAAUGUCCUGAAUUCCGAAGGUAGACCACGCUGUCUUCGACUCAGUCGUUUCUGUUCUUCCAGGCCGUUGAGCAGGGAUUGCCCUGCAUCUCCACCAGAUAUGUCACGAAGAGAAAUGGGCCGGCGAGUCGUCGAAUAAACAUCAAACGGUUUAUUAAACUACUUGGUAGCAAAACACAAGAGUGAUAGCUCUCUGAACACAACUGAGUCCAAAGAAUGAAUGAAUGCUCCAGCCCGGAGCGCACAAGCAUUUAAGCGUCGCGCCGAAGUCUAGAAACAGCACGUGCAGCAGGCGAUGUGUCUGGAAGCUUCUUUCUUCUUCUUCAGCAUGCACCGGGAUGACAUGUAGCGUUUCGUGCCUGCCCUGGAAGUUUCUCGAAGAUGAUUCGUGGCAUUGCCCCCUCCGUAGACGUGGCAUCGUCCCGAUGCCAGAACUGUGUCGGCUCAUCGCAUUUCGUUUGCACCCUGCGAAGCCUCGUAGCCAACGUCGUCGUCUUUAACAUUGUCAUCGGCGCCGUUAUCGAUUAAUGCAGUUGUCUCGUGGUCGUCGAUGAGUAUUUGCAGGUCACUGGUAAGGUUUUGAGCGUCGCGGCGGUCUGUAUUGCUGUUCGUCGAGCUCGGAGACUGGUCGCGUCGUGAGUCAGCAGAAGCAUGCUGCUGCCGUAGACUCUUCAGUUGCGACGGGAUGACUACGCGCUUAAGGCGGGAGGCGUCAGGUGAAAAUCCGGGUAGACCCAGUCGUCGUUACGGGAAACGGCGGUGGACCCGGGUGGCUUCUUCACAGUGGUAGCAGAGCGGCCUCAAGUCUGACGUUCGCCGUACGUCUGUCUUGCGAGUUCCUUGUGCGCGUGGUUGGUAGCUGAGUGGUGCAGGUUGGGCGGGUCGCGAAAGCACCCAGCUGUUGCCGUGCCGCGCUGCCGAUGGUGGCUGUCGUAUUCAUCUUCUGGCGGGUUGGGGGUCCCAAUGGCCUGAAUUCCGAAGGUAGACCACGCUGUCUUCGACUCAGUCGUUUCUGUUCUUCCAGGCCGUUGAGCAGGGAUUGCCCUGCAUCUCCACCAGAUAUGUCACGAAGAGAAAUGGGCCGGCGAGUCGUCGAAUAAACAUCAAACGGUUUAUUAAACUACUUGGUAGCAAAACACAAGAGUGAUAGCUCUCUGAACACAACUGAGUCCAAAGAAUGAAUGAAUGCUCCAGCCCGGAGCGCACAAGCAUUUAAGCGUCGCGCCGAAAAGUCUAGAAACAGCACGUGCAGCAGGCGAUGUGUCUGGAAGCUUCUUUCUUCUUCUUCAGCAUGCACCGGGAUGACAUGUAGCGUUUCGUGCCUGCCCUGGAAGUUUCUCGAAGAUGAUUCGUGGCAUUGCCCCCUCCGUAGACGUGGCAUCGUCCCGAUGCCAGAACUGUGUCGGCUCAUCGCAUUUCGUUUGCACCCUGCGAAGCCUCGUAGCCAACGUCGUCGUCUUUAACAUUGUCAUCGGCGCCGUUAUCGAUUAAUGCAGUUGUCUCGUGGUCGUCGAUGAGUAUUUGCAGGUCACUGGUAAGGUUUUGAGCGUCGCGGCGGUCUGUAUUGCUGUUCGUCGAGCUCGGAGACUGGUCGCGUCGUGAGUCAGCAGAAGCAUGCUGCUGCCGUAGACUCUUCAGUUGCGACGGGAUGACUACGCGCUUAAGGCGGGAGGCGUCAGGUGAAAAUCCGGGUAGACCCAGUCGUCGUUACGGGAAACGGCGGUGGACCCGGGUGGCUUCUUCACAGUGGUAGCAGAGCGGCCUCAAGUCUGACGUUCGCCGUACGUCUGUCUUGCGAGUUCCUUGUGCGCGUGGUUGGUAGCUGAGUGGUGCAGGUUGGGCGGGUCGCGAAAGCACCCAGCUGUUGCCGUGCCGCGCUGCCGAUGGUGGCUGUCGUAUUCAUCUUCUGGCGGGUUGGGGGUCCCAAUGGCCUGAAUUCCGAAGGUAGACCACGCUGUCUUCGACUCAGUCGUUUCUGUUCUUCCAGGCCGUUGAGCAGGGAUUGCCCUGCAUCUCCACCAGAUAUGUCACGAAGAGAAAUGGGCCGGCGAGUCGUCGAAUAAACAUCAAACGGUUUAUUAAACUACUUGGUAGCAAAACACAAGAGUGAUAGCUCUCUGAACACAACUGAGUCCAAAGAAUGAAUGAAUGCUCCAGCCCGGAGCGCACAAGCAUUUAAGCGUCGCGCCGAAAAGUCUAGAAACAGCACGUGCAGCAGGCGAUGUGUCUGGAAGCUUCUUUCUUCUUCUUCAGCAUGCACCGGGAUGACAUGUAGCGUUUCGUGCCUGCCCUGGAAGUUUCUCGAAGAUGAUUCGUGGCAUUGCCCCCUCCGUAGACGUGGCAUCGUCCCGAUGCCAGAACUGUGUCGGCUCAUCGCAUUUCGUUUGCACCCUGCGAAGCCUCGUAGCCAACGUCGUCGUCUUUAACAUUGUCAUCGGCGCCGUUAUCGAUUAAUGCAGUUGUCUCGUGGUCGUCGAUGAGUAUUUGCAGGUCACUGGUAAGGUUUUGAGCGUCGCGGCGGUCUGUAUUGCUGUUCGUCGAGCUCGGAGACUGGUCGCGUCCUGAGUCAGCAGAAGCAUGCUGCUGCCGUAGACUCUUCAGUUGCGACGGGAUGACUACGCGCUUAAGGCGGGAGGCGUCAGGUGAAAAUCCGGGUAGACCCAGUCGUCGUUACGGGAAACGGCGGUGGACCCGGGUGGCUUCUUCACAGUGGUAGCAGAGCGGCCUCAAGUCUGACGUUCGCCGUACGUCUGUCUUGCGAGUUCCUUGUGCGCGUGGUUGGUAGCUGAGUGGUGCAGGUUGGGCGGGUCGCGAAAGCACCCAGCUGUUGCCGUGCCGCGCUGCCGAUGGUGGCUGUCGUAUUCAUCUUCUGGCGGGUUGGGGGUCCCAAUGUCCUGAAUUCCGAAGGUAGACCACGCUGUCUUCGACUCAGUCGUUUCUGUUCUUCCAGGCCGUUGAGCAGGGAUUGCCCUGCAUCUCCACCAGAUAUGUCACGAAGAGAAAUGGGCCGGCGAGUCGUCGAAUAAACAUCAAACGGUUUAUUAAACUACUUGGUAGCAAAACACAAGAGUGAUAGCUCUCUGAACACAACUGAGUCCAAAGAAUGAAUGAAUGCUCCAGCCCGGAGCGCACAAGCAUUUAAGCGUCGCGCCGAAAAGUCUAGAAACAGCACGUGCAGCAGGCGAUGUGUCUGGAAGCUUCUUUCUUCUUCUUCAGCGUGCACCGGGAUGACAUGUACCGUUUCGUGCCUGCCCUGGAAGUUUCUCGAAGAUGAUUCGUGGCAAUAUAACCAGCCCUUCACCAUGGUAGAAUUGUCACGCUCCUUGUUGUCAGCAAAAGCGACUGCGCCAGGCCCAGACCGUAUUACAUAUUCAAUGCUUGAAAACCUGUCUGACAUAUCAAAAAAAUGUUUACUUCAGUUCUUCAACCAUGUUUGGAUACAGGGGAUACCACCGUCUGCGUGGAAAAUUGCCACCAUAAUCCCCCUCCUGAAACCUGGGAAGGAAGCAUCUUGUCCUGCGAGUUAUCGUCCCAUCGCUCUCACAAGCUGCAUAGGCAAAACGUUUGAGCGAAUGAUCUUGGGGUGCAGACCAGGAGACACUUCGCCGUGUAUACACUGCCUGCAUUCGCUCCAAGAUAGAUUAUGGCUCUAUCGUCUACGGCUCAGGCCGCCAAUCCGUAUUGAAGUUCCUGGACACUGUACAUCACCAAGGGCUCAGGCUUAUCCUUGGUGCGUUCCGCACCUCUCCAGUUGAAAGUCUGUACGUAGAAUCACAUGAAUAUUCGUUGAAUAGAAGACGAUUUUAUCUUGGGGUGUCAUAUGCACUAAGAAUAAGGAGUUAUCCACAACACCCUGCACUGACUUGUGUUAAAAGUACACGCUUCAAACAGCUGUUUAUUAACAGACCUUCAGUAGUUCCCCCUCUUUCAAUGAGAAUUGAACGAGAUAUUGAGGAUCACAAUUUUUCUUCCUAUGAUUGCCAAGUUGUAGAAUAUGGUAAAAUAGUCCCACCUUGGCAACCACCGCCAAGGUACACUGUUAGAAAUAUUUAUACCUUUUAGGGUAUAAACGGCUUGUCCCAGGGCGCAUACCUUUUGAGGUAUAAACGCUAUACUUCCUUCGAGGUAUAGUAGCUUUAUACCUUUCUGAAGGUAUAUUAUUUGCACCUCAUGGUAUAAACGUAUCCCCUUGAAGGCAUAUUUUCAAACCCGGGGUGUAAUCUUCGAAAAGCGGAAUAUUCGAUUAUUUCAGCACUAUAUAAGAGUGGCAUUUUCCUGAUCUAGCUCGUAAAAAAAAUUAGAACAAAAUAAUAUUGAGCGACAAGUGCUUUAAUAACAACAACUACCGCGAGAAGGAAACAGAGAAAGAAAAUACCUGGACACACACGCACGCACACAAACGUACCCACAAACUCAUAUUCACAAAGUGCAGGUGUAAAAUGUCGAGGAGAGCUCAUGCAGAUUACUCGCCACGCAAGAUGCAACAUGGAAGGAUUUGGUGGAGAACAGAUACUGGUAUAAUACAUCGUGGCUUCGCAAAAUGUGGGGCGCCUUCGCCCGGCGAGCAACUGUAUGAGUGAGGACGCGUAGAUUUGGUAAUUUCAUGAACAAAUAGCACGCUGCUAUAAACCAUUCCCCCUAUUAAUUACGAUGCCACUGUAUUACUGACUGUGUUUCCUCAUUAAAUUACUGCUUAGCUGAGAUGGUACUGUUUCCACCACAAAUUAAUGUGGUUACCACAGGUUCAUAUCUAAAGGUAUACAAAAUACCAAAGGUAUAAACGCAAGAGCGAAGUAUCUUAUUAUACCCUCAACUGGCGUGGAAAGUAUAGCCUCGGCGAUUUAUACCUCCCACAUGGUUUAAACGGGGUAUAGACGUUGGUGAUGAGAUAUAAAUAUGGUAGUUUAGUCCUGGUUUAUACCUUCGUUAUACCUCUUCUAUACCUUUUCUUCUAACAGUGUAUGAUACUACAUUGACUAAGUACAGCAAACACAACACCUCUACACAAGUACUACAGCAAGAAUUUGAACACGUGAGGGAAAGUUUUGGGACUCACACAGAAAUUUACACAGACGGAUCAAAGUCUAGCGCAGGAGUGACCUGUGCCAUGACUUGUGGCACAUGCGUGAGGUCAUAUCGUCUAAACAGUAUAGCAUCUAUCUUAACUGCAGAAAUCUAUGCCAUCAUCCUUGCACUUAACCACAUUCUUCAAGGUUGCAUCCGGUCAGCAGUAAUAUAUACAGAUUCUUUGAGCUCUGUUAAUGCUAUUUGUAGCACACGCAAACCAAAGAAUUUCGUGAUACAGCGUGCACAGUCCUUAAUCAGUAUGGCACAGAAGAGGGGAUAUUCGGUUAUUUUAUGCUGGGUGCCUAGCCACACAGGCAUACAAGGAAAUGAGUUUGUCGACCGGGCUGCUGCUGCUGCAGCUUCAAAAGACAUCAGUCCUUUCGAGAUACCCAUGCAAGAUAUUAGGGCAGCACUUAGGAAAUCACUGUACACAAAAUGGCAGAGCUUCUGGAACACUCAGACACAAAACAAGCUACACUUGAUUAAACAACACAUCCAAAGUCAUGGAGACCGCCAGGAAAAUCGACUCUUGAGUGUUCUGCGAACGAGGUUGCGGAUAGGCCACACCUUCCUCACGCACAAAUUUUUACUCUGUGGAGAAGAGCCGCCACUGUGUGAGCACUGUGGCGAACUCCUCUCUGUCAUUCACAUUCUUAUCACCUGCCCACACCACGAAACCCAUCGUCAACAUCAUUUCACAGAGUUUUAUACGUAUUUUUUUUUGCGUCUUCAUCCAGCGCUCUUGCUUGGCGAUGAGGCUGUUAUCCCUUUCAGUAGAAUUUUUAAUUUUUUAAGAGACAUUGGAAUCGUAAGUCUUGUGUAGUUUUAGUCUUGUAUUUUAGAUGUUACUUCUCCCUUUUUAAGUACUGCACCUACUUCUUACUAGUGUUAUUUUAAUCACAGUGUUGGCGCAUUAUGACCUAUGUAGUUAAUGCGUCAUUAAAACUCCAAUCAUCAUCAUCAUCAUUUGUUUUUUGU